rnacentral:rRNA from 1 species
AGAGUUUGAUCCUGGCUCAGCGCGAACGCUGGCGGCAUGGCUAAAACAUGCAAGUCGAACGCGAAAGUACCUUCGGGUACGAGUAGAGUGGCGAAAGGGCGAGUAAUGCGUUUCUAACGUGCCCCGAGGUCAGGGAUAGCCCAGGGAAACUUGGAUUAAUACCUGAUGAUCCCGGACCGUCAUAUGACGGACCGGGCAAAGGCUUGCUGCCUUGGGAUCGGGAAACGUCCUAUCAGCUUGUUGGUGGGGUAACGGCCUACCAAGGCUAAGACGGGUAGCGGGCGUGAGAGCGUGGCCCGCCGCAUCGGAACUGAGACACUGUCCGGACUCCUACGGGAGGCUGCAGUAACGAAUAUUCCGCAAUGGGCGAAAGCCUGACGGAGCAAUGCCGCGUGCGGGAUGAAGCAUCUAGGUGUGUAAACCGCUGUCAGGUUCCAGCAACACAAUGAGCAGAACCAGAGGAAGGACCGGCUAACUUCGUGCCAGCAGCCGCGGUAAUACGAGGGGUCCGAGCGUUGCGCGGUAUCAUUGGGCUUAAAGCGUGCGUAGGCGGAGUGGCAAGUGCCUUGUGAAAGCCCACGGCUCAACCGUGGAAUAGCUUGGCAGACUGCUUCUCUUGAGGUCGGUAGGGGCCAUCGGAACAGUAGGUGUAGCGGUGAAAUGCGUAGAUAUCUACUGGAACGCCAAAGGCGAAGGCAGAUGGCUGGGCUGAUUCUGACGCUGAGGCACGAAAGCGUGGGGAGCGAACGGGAUUAGAUACCCCGGUAGUCCACGCCCUAAACGAUGCGUACUAGGUCCUGGAGGUUUUGACGCCAUCGGGGCCGAAAAGAAGUCGAUAAGUACGCCGCCUGGGGAGUACGGUCGCAAGAUUAAAACUCAAAGGAAUUGACGGGGGCUCACACAAGCGGUGGAGCAUGUGGCUUAAUUCGAGGCAACGCGAAGAACCUUAUCCUGGGUUUGACAUGCAUGGAUUAACGCCUGGAAACAGGCGCCACGCUCUUUGAGUGGAACAUGCACAGGUGCUGCAUGGCUGUCGUCAGCUCGUGCUGUGAAGUGUCGGGUUAAGUCCCUUAACGAGCGAAACCCCUAUCGUUAGUUGCUAGCAGGUUAUGCUGAGGACUCUAACGAGACUGCCGGCGUUAAGCCGGAGGAAGGUGGGGAUGACGUCAAGUCCUCAUGGCCUUUAUGCCCAGGGCUGCACACGUGCUACAAUGGCGCGUACAGAGCGAAGCGAUACCGCAAGGUGGAGCAAAUCGCAAAAAGCGCGCCCCAGUUCAGAUCGUGGUCUGCAACUCGACCACGUGAAGAUGGAAUCGCUAGUAAUCGCGUAUCAGCUACGACGCGGUGAAUACGUUCCUGAGCCUUGUACACACCGCCCGUCAAGUCAUGGAAGCCGGGAGCACCCGAAGCCGCCCCGAUUCAGGGGUGUCGACGGUGAACUCGGUGACUGGGACUAAGUCGUAACAAGGUAACC